AACGCCGCGUGAGUGAAGAAGGCUUUCGGGUCGUAAAACUCUGUUGUUGGAGAAGAAUGGUCGGCAGAGUAACUGUUGUCGGCGUGACGGUAUCCAACCAGAAAGCCACGGCUAACUACGUGCCAGCAGCCGCGGUAAUACGUAGGUGGCAAGCGUUAUCCGGAUUUAUUGGGCGUAAAGCGAGCGCAGGCGGUUUUUUAAGUCUGAUGUGAAAGCCCUCGGCUUAACCGAGGAAGUGCAUCGGAAACUGGGAAACUUGAGUGCAGAAGAGGACAGUGGAACUCCAUGUGUAGCGGUGAAAUGCGUAGAUAUAUGGAAGAACACCAGUGGCGAAGGCGGCUGUCUGGUCUGUAACUGACGCUGAGGCUCGAAAGCAUGGGUAGCGAACAGGAUUAGAUACCCUGGUAGUCCAUGCCGUAAACGAUGAAUGCUAGGUGUUGGAGGGUUUCCGCCCUUCAGUGCCGCAGCUAACGCAUUAAGCAUUCCGCCUGGGGAGUACGACCGCAAGGUUGAAACUCAAAGGAAUUGACGGGGGCCCGCACAAGCGGUGGAGCAUGUGGUUUAAUUCGAAGCAACGCGAAGAACCUUACCAGGUCUUGACAUCUUUUGAUCACCUGAG
rnacentral:rRNA from 2 species